UUUCGGGGGGAAAUUGAAAAGGAUCUAGAGAGUAAUCAUAGGAAUCGAGUAGAGAGCGGUGUCUUCACGAGAAAGAAGAUAGAUCGAUCUUGAAAUCUAGGGUUUGGACACAAGAGCUCUCUUUCUCUCGUAUCCGUGUUUAUGU
rnacentral:sRNA from 1 species